rnacentral:lncRNA from 1 species
GGACGCCAGAGGACGCCUGUCCAGGUAGGUACACAAAGCACAGGUGGGCACACGGCAGGAAACUGCCACAGGCUGGGCCUCCACUAUGACAAGCCAGACCUGUCCCUGGUAAGGGGGAGACUGCGUCAGGCCGAGGACCCCCGGCCCCUCUGCAGCGGGCCCUGCGCUGCUCGGGACCAGGCGGAGGCGGGGCCCACGAGCCCUGGGGCCACCUGCGAAGGCCGGGACCCACCGGCAAGCACCCGACCCUCGUGCACAGGGACAGUGUCAGUACCGGGACACCUGCCCCCCACGCCCCGCGCACGUCCCCUGGAGAAGCCCCAGAGCCACACAGUCAGCAGGAGGAGGGCAGACCUCACGCCCUCCGCCCUCCACCCCCAGGGGAAGAGGGGAGGCAGGAAGGGGUCGGUCACGCUCCACCUCCACCUGCUGAAGCCCAGGCUGGCCCAGGAGGCAGCUGGACGGGGACCAGGCUGCCACCGGGGGCGGGGGACCUGCGGGUCCCCCCAGAGCCUGUGCUGCUGGCACACAGCAGGCUGCAGAGAGGGACCGGCCCCACCGAAGCACGACCCCCAGAUCCGUGCAGGCUCCUCUGCUCCUCGCACCCGCGGGUCACUGACUCCCCCAGGCCUCCGGCCUCCCCACGGGCCCACGGAGCUGGGCGGCCAGGCCCUGGGACUGGGCCACGAGCCUUCCCGACACGGGCUUCCCGCCCCCAUCACCCAGAGGAGCAAAGCCCAGGCUGUGUGUCCCUGGACAGGCCGGGGGGUCUCGGCCCCUGGGCCUUCUCUGCAAUCAAGUGUCCUCGGCCAAGCUCUGAGCGAGGUCAACGCCCGGGUCACCACGGGUCCCCCGACCCCAAUUCCCCGACUUCAGCCCCCGCGGGAGGUGGGCCCCGCCAGCUUCCCGCAGCCAGGGACUGGGGGGGGGGUCGCAGGGACACUGGCACGCGGGGCGGGAACGGGGCGUCGGGACCGCACCCCACGACCAAGGGCCGAGGCUCCGGUCGGGACCCCGGGGUCUGCGAGACCCGGCCGCGGCCACUGCCAGCCGGGACAGGUGGACGCCCCGCACACCCCACACCUGGGGCAGCGCCGGGCAGGUGAGCCUCGGCCGCGAGGUUGGGGUCCGCGCCCGGGCCCGACUGGACGGUUUCCACACGAGGAGCUAAUUGCACCGCGCUGCAGGCCUCGGCGCUCCGAUUGGACGAUAAAGUGGGCCCUGCGACCUGAUUGGAAGGUGUUUAAGAUUUUAUCUAUUUAUUCAUGA